UGUGCACACGCUGGUCCCCGCCCCACUGGCUUCUUCAUGUCACUCGGAUUCCUGCUCAGAGAUCAGGCCCUUUGACCGCUAGAUAGAGCACUAUCCCUCCCAGUCACUCUCUACCUCUCACCUGGCUUUGCUUGUACUCACAGCGUCACAUAUGUACCUGCUUAUUAUCUGGCCUUAAUUGAAUGUGAGUUGCAUGAGGACAGGGGUUUUUCCUGUUUCGUUCACUGCUGCAUCUUCGGUGCCUGGCACACGCAGAGGGAAGAGUUUGUCACGUGGCCGCAACCUUCUGCCGUGGGAUCUACAGGAAGCUGGCUACAAGUCCGACAGCAAAAUAUGGGUGACCAAGGUGAAGAAGAUCCCCUGAAUCCUUCAGCCAGAAGAACCCAAAGGCCUAUAUUUUCCUGUGGAGGUCCCUUGGCCUUGGCUUUGCCAUCCGAGUGGAGAGCAGCGGGGAGCGGUGUCUAUGGUCUGCAGAGCCAUCCAUGGCACAAGUCAGUGGGGCUUUAGAGCCAGCUAAACUCAGAAUUGCAUUUCAGUCCUGCCACUUUCCUGCCUGUUGUGCAGCUUGGGCAAGUAAGUUUAUUUUUCUGAGCUCAGUGUCUUCUUUGGAAAAAGUCAAUGACAUGCUGUGUCCCUGUUCUCUUUGUCCUGCCAACAACAGUCAUGUACCAGGCACAAAACACUGAGUGUCUUCAGCCUUAUGAUUUUUAAAAUGUGACAAUUCCUAUUAUAAUCUCCAGUUGACUACAGAGAAGAGCCUGAGUUUUCAGGAACUCAAACUUCAAAGCCAGGUCUUAGAGGCAGACUUGGUUUAGCCUUGAUGCACUCCUGCCAGGCACAGAGAGUCUGAGCUGGGUGACAAGGCCUCUGUUGGGUGGCUCACGCUCUGGCCAGAGAAGCAGACACAUCGACUACGGGCCGUAGCACAGUGCAGCAAGGCUCUGCAGGAUUUGGGAAGGAGCCGUGUGCUCCGGAGUCGGAGAUGCCUCUGCUGCCCUGAAGGGCGAGGAGCAAGUAUCCAGCAGCAGAGGGUAUGACGCUGCUAUUACAGAAGGAAGACAUUUACAAGACCAGUUCAGCACGGUUUGAAGACCUGCAAAUAUUUGUGUGUGACCAGAGUUGGAACCGGUGACCACAAAGUGCCACGUGUAUCAUGUGAGGGGGAAUCUGGACCCUAGAGCACUGGGGACCCACAGAGAGUCUCAGUGGGAGUGACAUCCUCAGCUCUGAGUUUUAGAAAGAUUACCUGCCUCACAAGCUUUCUGCAGGAAUGGUCACAGCUCAACCACAAAGCUGUUUCAGACUGUGGUUGGGCAAGAAGCCCACAUAACCCUCAAUGCAGCUAAUGACCAGCUUGUCCGCACGCCCGCCCGGACGUGUUCGCCACAGCUGUCUUGCAUCCCUUCCUGACCUCAUCAGCCCCAAGCCCAGUGAAGUGCCACUGCGGAAGUCCCAGGCUGGAAUGGGACAGAGCAGGAAGCUGGGAAACCACAUGGGGACCCUUACAUCUUCCCCUCCUGGCUGAGAGGAGCCUGCGCACGCCAGCGGGGCCAGGCGCCGCAUCUGGGCUCUCCGUCCUGCCGUGCGUGGCCCCGCUGGGCCUGCUGGAGGCGCGUCUGCGAAUCUGCUUAACUGAAUUCUCAUCUUUCAAAAAUUAUAUUUCUGUGCUAUUGCCUAGAGGCAUUCAGGUAAUGGGUGCAUUUUUAAUAAACCCAAUAAGUAAAUAGCUGUAUUUGCUCCCCAGGAAACCCAGAGGGCCUAGAGCUAGAGCAUAGCCUCGGAAACAGUCACACCAGAAACUGGCCUAGGAGGCGCUCACAGGCGGCCUCUGGGUGACUCCUCGUUCCCAGGGCAGGUGAGGCUCAGCUGUCACCGAACACAGCCAUGAGUUGGCUUGGGGCGGCAGAGCUGGGCCACCCCACCGCGACACCUGUGGGCUGGCACACUGGCAGCUCCCCCUCUGCUGUUGACCGGGCAAUAGAGCAGACUGUUGGCAGCUGGAGAACAGCGCCCGCGGGUCUGGCAAAGCUGUGGGCGCCCGCCUUCACGCUGCGCUCCCUGGUCGCAGGCACAGCAGCACGGGCCGAGGGUGCAGGCUUUCUUAACGUGCUCCAUGGCGGCUCCUUACACUUCUGGAAACCUGCCCCUGGUUGCUCUCCUGCCCCCAGGUCUUGGCCUCCCAGACGCGACGCCAUGCCCCCAAGCUGUGCUGCCCUCCCUGCGCCUCCCUGCCGUCCUCAGCCCCCCAUUUCCGUCAGGCCGGCCUCUGCCUGGGACACUCCCUCUGCCGCUCCAGCCGCUCACAGUCCAGACCAAGUCUCACCUCUGCCUCCGCUGUAAUAAGUCUGCCUUGUUCAUAUCUUGCAUUUGGGACAUGCCACCUUGUGCUUGUAUUUAGCUCUUUGGGGGAGGGAUGCUGUGGGGCGCGGUGUCAACGCCAUUACAAGUUGGCGCCUGUUUCCAGCUUUGCCUAGAGCAGCUAACAAG